CAAUGAUUAUAAAUAGCUGCAGUAUUUGACUGUGCAAAGGUAGCAUAAUAAUUAGUCUUUAAUGAGGACUUGUAUGAAAGAUUGAUGAGAAAUAAACUUUAUUAUUUAUAUAAUUAAAAUUUUAUUUUUAAGUAAAAAAGCUUAAAUUAUUUAAAGGGACGAUAAGACCCUAUAAAACUUUAUAAAUUUUAAUUUUAAUUUUUUUGGUUUUAUAAAUAUUUUAUUUUUAUAAUUUAUUUUAUUGGGGUGAUAAAAAAAAUUAAUAAACUUUUUUUANAAUUUAACAUUAUUUAAUGAAUUUUUGAAUUAAAAUUUUUAAUUAAAGGAAAAAGUUACUUUAGGGAUAACAGCGUAAUUAAUUUUUUAAGWCCAAAUUUAAAAAUUAGUGUGCGACCWCGAUGUUGAAUNAAGANNAAUCUUAGGUGCNNNNNNNNAARUAUUAGGUCUGUUCGACCUUUAAAGGCUU
rnacentral:rRNA from 1 species